rnacentral:rRNA from 1 species
CGUGGCCUACGGGGGGCAGCAGUGGGGAAUAUUGCACAAUGGGGGAAACCCUGAUGCAGCGACGCCGCGUGAGUGAAGAAGUAUUUCGGUAUGUAAAGCUCUUUCAGCAGGGAAGAUAAUGACGGUACCUGACUAAGAAGCCCCGGCUAACUACGUGCCAGCAGCCGCGGUAAUACGUAGGGGGCAAGCGUUAUCCGGAUUUACUGGGUGUAAAGGGAGCGUAGGUGGCA